rnacentral:lncRNA from 1 species
GAGAAACAAAAAUACAUUGUGGGAUCCUUCUACAUUAUAGUCAAAAGGAGCAACUGCAAAUCAGAAACCCUCCAGAUAAGUGGUAAAGCCAGGACCAUUAGGGCCAAGCCUCAGGCAGCCUCUUUAAGUAUUCUGGGCUCCUUAAAUUUUUAAACCUGGUUUAUUCAAAAAAGUAGAGCGCUAAAACAUUUUGGACAGUUCACCUAUUUUGCAUAUAUUUGAGCCCAUCUCUAAUUUUCAUCAUGAUAAAUAACAGGUUGUUUGUUAUUUUGCCAUUUUAAAAGUAAAAACUCUGAAACCAUGAUAAUAACCAAAACAUCUGGUGUCUCCAGAGAUCAAGGUGGCUAAAGUAUAUGUGGCUCCGUCUCUGGAAUGUGUCCAUUUGGUAUGAUGCUGGCUGACUACCCAGGAGGGUGGAUUCCUAAUAACAGUGCCCACUGCUCCUGGGGUGUAGUUCUGUGAGCUAACCCACAUAGAAUAGUACACCAUCCAUGCAGAAGUAACUUAGGCUAUCCAUCAGAAGUAUCUUGUGAAAGGCACAUUGUAAGCAUCCAUAAUCAAAUCCCAUGAACCCCCAUCAGGGCAGAGCUAGAGUAUAUAGCUGCUCCCAGAGAAAGACCUAAAAAAAGCCAAAUUAUAGAGCAUACAUGGUAUAGGGUUACCAGCUCCAAUGUCCAUCCCACUCUCCUCCCACUUCUCCACUGUUCACCUUCAUUAUAGGGGUUAAGAAACCAAAAUGAUCUCUUUCUGAGCCUCCUUUGCAGCGGGGUGGUCACAAGUUCUGGCUGGUGAGACAAGGUUAAGAAGGACUUAGGCUCUUUGCUUUUGCCUGCAGAUAUCCGACCAGUGGCAGAGCACUGGACUAAAGACUUGCGACCCUGCCUCCAUUUUGCAUGCAUCUUCUUUUCUCCAGAGUCACCUUGGAUUCCAGGAACAAGGACUGAUAGGAUAAGCCUCUUGUGAUUAUCCCCAGGCAACAGCAACUUUCUCAUCCUGAACAAGGCCUGCCUCACCUGAUCCUGAGAUCACCAGGGACAGACCACACCUGAGCAAGGCCACCUGCAUUGAAAGCUAUGACUGUGACAGCCUUAGCUGUGCAAACCCGGACCCUUGCCCUCAUUCCCCUUUCUAUAAACCUCAAACUCAUUGUCAGCCCCUGGAGGACAGGGCUGAGGUCCUCUUGUCUUUCAGUUGCAAUCUAUAGGAUUAAAGUUCCGUUCAUGCGUGUCACCAUUAUGUUUCCUG